UGUGUAGGCGGUUGUUUAAGUUUGGUGUGAAAUCUCCCGGCUCAACUGGGAGGGUGCGCCGAAUACUGAAUGACUUCGAGUGCGGGAGAGGAGAGUGGAAUUCCUGGUGUAGCGGUGAAAUGCGUAGAUAUCAGGAGGAACACCGGUGGUGUAGACGGCUCUCUGGACCGUAACUGACGCCGAGACACGAAAGCGUGGGUAGCAAACA
rnacentral:rRNA from 1 species